rnacentral:pre_miRNA from 1 species
ACAACAUUCGGACCGUCGGUCUACCGAGCAAGAUCACUCGCACGGUGGAAGAUCUUCCUUUCGUCGU